rnacentral:rRNA from 1 species
GGGUCAGUAGGUUGGUCGUGCCACCGAUACGUACUGGUCUCACUGAUUCCUCCUUCCUGAAGAACCGUAAUGCCAUUAAUUUGGUGUUGCGGGGAAACAGGACUGUUAAUUUGAAAAAAUUAGAGUGUUUAAAGCAAGCUAACGCUUGAAUACAUUAGCAUGGAAUAAUGAAAUAGGACGAUCGAUCCUAUUUUGUUGGUUUCUAGGAUUGACGUA